UACGUAGGGUGCAAGCGUUAAUCGGAAUUACUGGGCGUAAAGCGUGCGCAGGCGGUUUUGUAAGUCUGUCGUGAAAUCCCCGGGCUCAACCUGGGAAUUGCGAUGGAGACUGCAAGGCUAGAAUCUGGCAGAGGGGGGGUGGAAUUCCACGUGUAGCAGUGAAAUGCGUAGAGAUGUGGAGGAACACCGAUGGCGAAGGCAGCCCCCUGGGUCAAGACUGACGCUCAUGCACGAAGCGUGGGGAGCAAACAGG
rnacentral:rRNA from 1 species